CAGCAGCCGCGGUAAUACAGAGGGUGCAAGCGUUAAUCGGAAUUACUGGGCGUAAAGCGCGCGUAGGUGGUUUGUUAAGUUGGAUGUGAAAUCCCCGGGCUCAACCUGGGAACUGCAUCCAAAACUGGCAAGCUAGAGUAUGGUAGAGGGUGGUGGAAUUUCCUGUGUAGCGGUGAAAUGCGUAGAUAUAGGAAGGAACACCAGUGGCGAAGGCGAACACCUGGACUGAUACUGACACUGAGGUGCGAAAGCGUGGGGAGCAAACAGGAUUAGAUACCCGGGUAGUCCCUGUCUCUUAUAC
rnacentral:rRNA from 1 species